AAACUGAAGAGUUUGAUCCUGGCUCAGAUUGAACGCUGGCGGCAUGCUUUACACAUGCAAGUCGAACGGCAGCGGGGGCUUCGGCCUGCCGGCGAGU
rnacentral:rRNA from 1 species